rnacentral:rRNA from 1 species
GACGAACGCUGGCGGCGUGCUUAACACAUGCAAGUCGAACGGAAAGGCCCUGCUUUUGUGGGGUGCUCGAGUGGCGAACGGGUGAGUAACACGUGAGUAACCUGCCCUUGACUUUGGGAUAACUUCAGGAAACUGGGGCUAAUACCGGAUAGGAGCUCCUGCUGCAUGGUGGGGGUUGGAAAGUUUCGGCGGUUGGGGAUGGACUCGCGGCUUAUCAGCUUGUUGGUGGGGUAGUGGCUUACCAAGGCUUUGACGGGUAGCCGGCCUGAGAGGGUGACCGGCCACAUUGGGACUGAGAUACGGCCCAGACUCCUACGGGAGGCAGAAGUGGGGAAUAUUGCACAAUGGGCGGAAGCCUGAUGCAGCAACGCCGCGUGCGAGAUGACGGCCUUCGGGUUGUAAACCGCUUUCGCCUGUGACGAAGCGUGAGUGACGGUAAUGUGUAAAGAAGCACCGGCUAAUUACGAG